GGCAUAUGGACACUUCGUCGGACAAUGCCCGGAGCGCAAGAGCGCCAAUAUCAACAAUUAUAAUGCCUCAUAGACACAGGGAGUCCAAUAUCAUUUACAAAGUUAAGCAAUGUAUCCAAGGAAAUUAAUUUAGAAUCCGCUUCAGAAACCUAUUUCGGGCUGAAUAAAAGCCAACUGACAAUACAUGGAAAAAUCUUAUGUUACAUUAUAAAAGAAAAA